rnacentral:rRNA from 1 species
GACGAACGCUGGCGGCGUGCUUAACACAUGCAAGUCGAACGAUGAAGCUGGAGCUUGCUCCGGUGGAUUAGUGGCGAACGGGUGAGUAACACGUGAGUAAUCUGCCCUUGACUCUGGGAUAACUGCGGGAAACUGUAGCUCAUACCGGAUACGACACCUUCGGGCAUCGGAUGGGUGCGGAAAGAAUUUCGGUCAAGGAUGAACUCGCGGCCUAUCAGCUAGUUGGUGAGGUAAUGGCUCACCAAGGCGACGACGGGUAGCCGGCCUGAGAGGGUGACCAGCCACAAUGGGACUGAGACACGGCCCAGACUCCUACGGGAGGCGGCAGUGGGGAAUAUUGCACAAUGGGCGAAAGCCUGAUGCAGCAACGCCGCGUGAGGGAUGAAGGCCUUCGGGUUGUAAACCUCUUUUAGUUGGGAAGAAGCGAAAGUGACGGUACCAACAGAAAAAGCACCGGCUAACUACGUGCCAGCCGCCGCCGUAA